GACGAACGCUGGCGGCGUGCUUAACACAUGCAAGUCGAACGAAGAGCGAUGGAAGCUUGCUUCUAUCAAUCUUAGUGGCGAACGGGUGAGUAACGCGUAAUCAACCUGCCCUUCAGAGGGGGACAACAGUUGGAAACGACUGCUAAUACCGCAUACGAUCUAAUCUCGGCAUCGAGGAUAGAUGAAAGGUGGCCUCUACAUGUAAGCUAUCACUGAAGGAGGGAAUUGCGUCUGAUUAGCUAGUUGGAGGGGUAACGGCCCACCAAGGCGAUGAUCAGUAGCCGGUCUGAGAGGAUGAACGGCCACAUUGGGACUGAGACACGGCCCAGACUCCUACGGGAGGCAGCAGUGGGGAAUCUUCCGCAAUGGACGAAAGUCUGACGGAGCAACGCCGCGUGAGUGAUGACGGCCUUCGGGUUGUAAAGCUCUGUUAAUCGGGACGAAAGGCCUUCUUGCGAACAGUUAGAAGGAUUGACGGUACCGGAAUAGAAAGCCACGGCUAACUACGUG
rnacentral:rRNA from 1 species